rnacentral:sRNA from 1 species
UUCCUCAUUUGAGAGGGUCGUGACCACCC